GUGCCAGCCGCCGCGGUAAGACGGAGGGUGCAAACGUUGCUCGGAAUCACUGGGCAUAAAGCGCACGUAGGCGGCUAGCUAAGUUGGGUGUGAAAGCCCCCGGCUCAACCGGGGAAUGGCAUCCGAUACUGGCUGGCUCGAGGACGGUAGGGGUGAGUGGAACUCCAGGUGGAGCGGUGAAAUGCGUAGAUAUCUGGAGGAACACCGGUGGCGAAAGCGGCUCACUGGACCGUCUCUGACGCUGAGGUGCGAAAGCCAGGGUAGCGAACGGGAUUAGAAACCCCUGUAGUCC
rnacentral:rRNA from 1 species